CCUACGGGAGGCAGCAGUGGGGAAUUUUCCGCAAUGGGCGAAAGCCUGACGGAGCAACGCCGCGUGAGGGAUGAAGGCCUCUGGGCUGUAAACCUCUUUUCUCAAGGAAGAAGAUCUGACGGUACUUGAGGAAUAAGCCACGGCUAAUUCCGUGCCAGCAGCCGCGGUAAUACGGGAGUGGCAAGCGUUAUCCGGAAUUAUUGGGCGUAAAGCGUCCGCAGGCGGCCUUGUAAGUCUGUCGUUAAAGCGUGGAGCUUAACUCCAUUUCAGCGAUGGAAACUACAAGGCUUGAGUGUGGUAGGGGCAGAGGGAAUUCCCGGUGUAGCGGUGAAAUGCGUAGAUAUCGGGAAGAACACCAGUGGCGAAGGCGCUCUGCUGGGCCAUAACUGACGCUCAUGGACGAAAGCCAGGGGAGCGAAAGGGAUUAGAUACCCCUGUAGUCCUGGCCGUAAACGAUGAACACUAGGUGUCGGGGGAAUCGACCCCCUCGGUGUCGUAGCCAACGCGUUAAGUGUUCCGCCUGGGGAGUACGCACGCAAGUGUGAAACUCAAAGGAAUUGACGG
rnacentral:rRNA from 1 species